AGCUCGUUGCACUGGCGUUAUGGCUUAUUAAAAACUGAGCCGAUGCGCACUGAACGGGAGCCGGUCUAUACGGAUGGUGUGAGUCCCUGCUAACGGGGAAGCCUGAUAUCCGGAUGGGGCGCCCACCUUAACGUAAAGGGUUCAGUUCACAGGUCAUAACGCCAGUGCAACGACAAA
rnacentral:other from 2 species